rnacentral:rRNA from 1 species
UACGUAGGGGGCAAGCGUUGUCCGGAUUUAUUGGGCGUAAAGAGCUCGUAGGUGGUUCGGUAAGUCGGAUGUGAAAUCUCCAGGCUCAACCUGGAGGGGUCAUUCGAUACUGCCGUGACUAGAGGUCGGUAGGGGAGUGUGGAAUUCCUGGUGGAGCGGUGAUAUGCGUAGAUAUCGGGAGGAACACCAGUGGCGAAGGCGGCUCUCUGGGCCCUACCUGACGCUGAGACGCGAAAGCGUGGGGAGCGAACCGG